ACAAGCGGUGGAGUAUGUGGUUUAAGUUUCGAUGCAACGCGAAGAACCUUACCUGGUCUUGACAUCCCGGAGACCCUUAGGAAACUAGGGGUGCUUCCAUCUGGAAGAAUCUGGAGACAGGUGCUGCAUGGCUGUCGUCAGCUCGUGUCGUGAGAUGUUGGGUUAAGUCCCGCAACGAGCGCAACCCUUGCCUUUAGUUGCCAGCAGUUCGGCUGGGCACUCUAAAGGGACUGCCGGUGUUAAACCGGAGGAAGGUGGGGAUGACGUCAAGUCCUCAUGGCCUUUAUGACCAGGGCUACACACGUACUACAAUGGCCGAUACAAAGGGCAACGACACUGCGAGGUGAAGCCAAUCCCGUAAAAUCGGUCUCAGUCCGGACUGGAGUCUGCAACUCGACUCCAUGAAGUUGGAAUCGCUAGUAAUCGUGGAUCAGCAUGCCACGGUGAAUACGUUCCCGGGCCUU
rnacentral:rRNA from 1 species